GACGGAGGAUGCAAGCGUUAUCCGGAAUUAUUGGGCGUAAAGCGUCCGCAGGUGGCUGUUCAGGUCUGCUGUCAAAGCGCAGAGCUUAACUCUGUACAGGCGGUGGAAACUGAAGAGCUAGAGUAUGGUAGGGGUAGAGGGAAUUCCCGGUGUAGCGGUGAAAUGCGUAGAUAUCGGGAAGAACACCAGUGGCGAAAGCGCUCUACUGGGCCAUAACUGACGCUGAGGCGCGACAGCGUGGGGAGCAAACAGG
rnacentral:rRNA from 1 species